CAAUGUCUGAAAGAAAAUGAGAGAACAAACAAAUGCUAUUUUUCUUGUACAAGGGGAAAUAUAGUAAGAAGAAUAAUAAAUUGACAAGUAUAUCCAUUAGAAGUAAAAGGGUCAUAAAAUUCUAAAAAAUGUGAUGAAAUUUUUUAAAGGCAAGAAGGGCUCAGAAAAUUAUUAAAGCUAACAUGAGAAUGUAAAGUUUGUGAAUAGGCAAAGAGAAAAAUCAGUAGUUCUCAUAUUUAGUUGUGGAUCAGUAUUUCCACAGGAAUUUCUUACAUAUACAACCCUUCUCUUUUGAGAGAGUUGAAGCAGAAAAGAAUAGCUUUAUUUGCUUUGCCAGGCACAGGGGGCAACAGCAGGCUAAUGUCCUCAAAACUGUGUGUGCCAACCUGGAGGGGUGUAGUGAGAAGUUUUAUAAUAAUGGUUCAAAGAGGGCGUGAUGUAUGUAUAUACUACCCUUUAGAUAUCCACUGAGACUGAGUGAAUCAGAAUCUGUGAGUAGGUCCUGGUCAUCUACAUUUUUAAUAUUCUCUACCAGAUGGCUCUCUAUGUAAUUUUUUCAAUGGUCUGUCUUUAUCUUAGAGUGAAACCCAAGCGCAUAACCAUAAAUAAGAAGACUCUGUCUUACUUCUACAAAUUCAUUUCAAGCCCUUGACAUCUUUUCCCCUAUAUCUGACCACACUGCAUCUUUUCAGCUACUAGAAAUACUGCAACUUUUCCCAUUGCCUGUGGCUUCACACGGAUGCUUUACCUUGCAGGAAUCCUCUUAGGUGGCUUCUCUAAAUGAUUGUCUUCAGGUGUUACAAAUCACUUCCUCAGAAAGGCUGGCUCUGCUAACUCUCAAGUAUGAAUUCAAAACUUCUUUCAACUACCACUGAAAAACAAGUUCUACCACAAGGAAGGAGAGACAUCCACUUACCCGGCCCAUGGUUUUAGAACUGCCAAUCAUCCUCAGAAGCUGAGUCCAGAGAAGCCAGAGCUGAGGGAGGAAAAAGAAGCCUUGAAACCCAAUGUAGCUCAGAACUCCCAAAAUUAAGCUGUGCCAUGCAGCAUGCAGGAUCUUAGCUCCCUAAUCAGGGAUCGAACCCGUGCCCCCUGCAUUUCGAGUGGAGAGUCUUAACCACUGGACCGCCAGGGAAGUCCCCUAAAAACCAUAUUUUAAAGAAGACUGUAUUAAAGAUGCACCCUAUAUGGGGAAAUAUGUAUACAUAUAGCUGAUUCACUUUGUUAUACAGCAGAAACUAACACAACAUUGUAAAGCGAUUACAUUCCAAUAAAGAUGUUAAAAAAAAAGAUGCAUCCUAUAAUAGCUCAGGUAACUACUAAAAGAAUUAUACAGAGAUGCACAACUAAAAUUGCUAAUAGAGGAGAUUAAAUGGAAUAAUGAAAACUACCUGAUUAAUUCAAAAGAAGGCAGGAAAGGAGGAAUAAAGAAAUGAAGAAUAAAUGGGAUAAACAGAAAACAUAUAGCAAGAUGGCAUAUUUAAACCAAACUAUAUCAGUAACUGUAAUAAAAUGUGAAUGGACUAAACAUUGCAAUUAAAAACUAAGAUUUUCAGAUUAAAUUAAAAACAGGAUCAAUUACACUGCUUAUAAGAAACAUACUUUAAAGACACAGAUAUGUUAAAAGUAAGAGUGGAAAAGUAUAUUAGUAAUUAGAAGCACACUGGUAUAUUAACAACAGAUAAAUAGACUUAAAUGCAAGAAGUAUUAUAAGUAAUAAAGAGAUAUUUCCUACAAUUCAACAAGAAUAUAACAGUUAUCCUACAUUCCUUAUACUCCUAAUAAGAUAGCUUCAAAAGCAAAAGUCAACAGAAUUAAAGGACAAGUUUAUAAUUAACUUUAGAGAUUUUUUAUACCCUCCAUUGGUAACUGAUAACAGGAAGAGAAAAAAAAUCAACAAGGCCAUAGCAGGUUGAACAGGAAUAACCAAAAUGACCCAAUUGAACAUUAUACUCCCAAAAUACAGACUACACAUUCUUUGCAUAUUUUUCAGAAUAUUCUGGGCCAUAAAAUAAGUAUCUAUAAACUUCAAAGGAUUAAUAUCAAAGAAUGUAUAUUUUGGAACUCAAAAACAGGUAUUUCUCAAAUGUUUCCAAAUAUAAAAAUUCACUUGAAAUAAGUACAGGUCAAAGAAUAAAUCAUAAUGGAAACUAGAACAUAUUUGGAGCUAAAUGAUAAUAAAAGUAUGGCAUAACAGAGCUUGUGAGAUGCAGUCAAACCAAUGUUUACAAUGAUAUUUUUAGUUUUAAAUAUAUAUUUUUUGUUUUUGUUUUGUUUUUACAAAUGCUGCAGAUAAAUGCCAUUCAUUAUCUAAUCACCACUGGUAAAUACUAGGUGUACUAAAGACAUUGACAUAGUAAAUCAAUUAGUAGUGAAAUUAUUAUGAAACUCCUUUGUCAAAUUACUACAAUGCCAAAUAAACCCAUAAUUUAUUUUCUCCCAGUAGAUAGCAUGAGCAUUUAUAAUGAUUGCCCACUUAUUAUUUUCCUUUCUUAUUACUCUUUGAUCCCCUUCACCCAAACAUAAAUUUAUGUUUUAUAAAAGUAGUAUGGUUAAAAAUCAAUGAUCUACCUUUGGAAGCUAGAAAAGGGAAAGCAAAUUAAGCCUACAGAAAGUAAAACAUACUAAAAUGAGUGGCAUAAAAAACCCAGAUCUAUAACAGAGAAAAACCAAUAAAGCCAAAAGUUAUUUCAUUGAAGAGAUAAGAUUAAUAAACCUCUAGCUAUACUGUUCAAGGAAAAAAUUGCCAAUAUCAGGACUAUAAAAGGAGAUAUCACUACAUAUAUUAUAGACAUUAUUAAAUUGAUAACAGAAUUUUAUGAACAACUCUACGACAAUAAACUUGAAAAUGUAGAAGAAAUUUUAAAAUUUCUUGAAAACAAUUCAAUGAAACUGAUAUAAAAAAUGGAAAAUCUGAAUAUUGUUAUAUUUAUUAAAGAAAUUAAAUCUAUAUUAAUUAAGGACCUUCCCAUAAAAUGUCAGGCCCAGAGGCUUCAGUGGCAAAUUCUCCAAACAGUUAAGGAAUUAAAAAUGCCAGUCAAACUCAAUAUCUUCUAGAAAACAAAUAAAAAUGGACCAUGUCUUGAGGCCCUCAUAAUUGUGAUAUCAAAACCUGACAAUGACAUUACAAGAAAAGAAAACUACAAUAUAUCUCUAUCAUGAACACAGAUGCAAGUAUAUUAAAUAAAAUAUUAGCAAGGAGAGGCCAGUGAUAUAUAUGUCCAAGAGAUUUAUUCUCAAAAUGCAAAGUCACUUUAUUUUUAAGAAGCAAUCAAUAUAAUCUUCAAACUUUAAAUAAUAAAGGAGAAAAACCAUUCAAUCAUUUCAUUACAUGCAGAAAAACCAUUUGAUAAUAUUCAACAUCAGUUCAUGAUAAAAAUUCUCAGCCAACUAGGAAUAGAACUUCUUUAAUUUGUUAAAGGGGAUCUACAGAAUAAAACUGAGAGGUAAAAUAUGGACUAAUGUCUUGAGUUCAGGAAUAAGGCAAGGAUCUCCACUUUUACCACUUCCAUUUAACUUUGUAUUUGAAGACCUAUCCAAUACCAUAAGAGAAAAAAGUGAAAUGAAAGGUAUGAAGAUUGGAAGGAAGGAGGUAAAUCCAUAUUUAUUUGCAGAUAACAUGAUUUUGUACAUAGAAAAAAAUUUUCAAUCCUACAGACUAUUAGAAUACAUGAAUUUAUUAGAAAGUUUGUUGAAUAAAAGGUCACAGUAUAAAACAAUUAUAGUAAAGCAAAGCUAUUGAAAAAUGAGAUUUUAAAAAUCCCAACAGUUCAUAAAAAACAUGAAAAAUAUAAAACACUUUGGAAUGAAUCUAACAAAAGAGGUGCAAGACUUUUAGACUGAAAACAACAAAACAUUAAGGAAAGAAGUUAAAGAAGAAUUAAAUAAAUGGAAACAUAUUUCAUGUUCAUGAAUUGGAGGAAUCUAUUUUAAGAUGACCACUUCUCUCUAAAUUGAUCUACUGAUUCAAUGCAUCUCUAAACAAUAUCAGCAGCUUUUUUUUAGAACAUUAAGAAAAUCAUUCUAAAAUUAUAUGGAAAUGCUAAGAAUCCAGAACAGUCAGGGCAAUUUUGAAGAACAAAGUUGUCGAAUGUACAUUACCAGAUAUCAAGACAUAAUAUAAAGCUACUGUAAUUAAAACAGCAGGACUGACACAGGAUUGACAAACAGACCAACAGAAUAGACAGUCCAGAAAGAGCCCUGUACAUAUAUAGUCACAUUUUUUUAACAAUAAAAGUCUGACUUAGAGCAGAAAAGAUAGUCUUUUCAACAAAUGAUGCCUGAGCAAUUGGCAAUCUGUGUGGAAAGAAUGGUUUUGACCCUGAUCCCACCACAUAUACAGAUGUAAAUUCAAGAUGGAUCAUAGGCCUAAAUGUGAAAGCUAAAGCAAUAAAUUUUCUGUAAGAAGAAACAGGAAAAUAUCUUCAUGAUCUUGGGGUAGGCAAAAUUUUCUCUUUUUUUUGGUUUAAUUUUUAUUUCCACUUACUUUAGACUUAGAGAAAAGUUGCAAGAGUAGUACAGUUUCCUAUAUACCGCUCAAACUAAUUUGAACAUCUUACAUAGGACAAUGGUCAAAACCAGGACAUUAACAUUGGUACAGUACUACAAAUGGCAUAUCUUAUUCAAAUAUCACCAGUUUUUCCCACUAAUGUCAUUUUUCUUUUCCAGGAUUCUAUACAUGAUCCCACACUGCAUUGAGCUGUUAUUUCUCCUCAGUCUCUUCCAAUCUCCACAGUCUUUCUUAUGGUAAUAGCUUUCAACUACUACCAUAACAAAUCACCACAAAUUUAGCUUAAAACAACACACAUUUAUUAUCUCACAGUUUCUGUGAACUUGGAGUCUGGACAGUUUCGAUAGAUGGUCUCCUCAUGCUGGUCUUAUAAGCUGCAAACAAGGUAUCAGCUGGGCUGUGUUCUCAUUCAGAGGCUCAAGUGGGGAAGAAUCCACUUUCAAUUUCAUUCAGAUUGUUGGCAGAAUUCAUACGCUUGCGGCUGGAUGACUGAGGGCCUCAACUUUUUGCUGGCUGUCAGCUGGAGAAUGACCUCAGGUCCUAGAGGGUGCCUGCAAUUUCUUGCAAGGGCUUGUCCAACACUGCCUUACUUCAUCAAGCCCACGAGCAGAGUCUCUAGCUCCAGUAUGCUAUGAUGGAGUCUUUUUUUGUUUUGUUUUUGGUUUUUUUUGGCCGUGCCUCGCAGCACGUGGGAUCUUAGUUCCAUGACCAGGGAUCAAACCCACGUCCCCUGCAGUGUAAGUGCAGAGUCUUAACCACUGGACCACCAGGAAAGUCCCUAUGAUGGAGUCUUAUGUGACAUAAUGUAACCAUAGUAGCGACACCCCUUUACUUUUGCCGUAUAAAGUAACCUAAUCACAGGACUGACAUCCCCUCAUCAAUUUUCUAUUGGUUAGAAACAAGUCACAGGUCCUGCUUGCACUCCAAUGGAGGGGGAUUAUACAAUGGCAUAGACACCAGCAGGCAGGAAUCAUGGCGGUCACCCUAAAGUCUGUCUAUCACACCUAAUUCAUGACCUCUUCACUUCGGAGGAGUACAAAUCAUUUAAGUUAUCAAACGUCCCUCCACUUGGUUUGUCUGAUGUUUCACAAUUGGAAUGAGGCUCUGCAUUUUUGGGAGUACCACAGUGAUGCUCUGUCCUUCUCAUUGUAUGACAUGAAAGGGCUCAUGAUGUCAAUACUUUAUCACUGAUGAUGUUAACCUUGAUCACUUGGUGAAACUGCUUUCUGAUGGGUUUCCCCACUAGAAAAGUACUACCUUUCCCUCUGUUGUUAAUAAAUAUCGUGGGUGAUGGGGAAUCCUCUGACACUAUGCAAACCCUUUUUCUCUUCAAACUUUCACCCUCUAGUUUUAGCAUCUACCAGUGGAUCUCGUCUGAAACAACGAUUACUGUGGUGUUUGCCUAAUGGCCAUUUUCCAUGUCCCUCUUUCCUUCUACACUUAACAACUGGAAUUCUACCAUAAGGAAGAUCUGUCCCUUCUUCCCCAGGAAAAGAUGUUUUAAACAGAACAAAAAUGCGAUAGCCAUAAAAGAAAAAGAUUGUUAAAUGAGCUCAGUUAAAAUUAAGAAUAUCUCUUCAUUAUAAGAUAUCAUUAAGAAAGUGAAUAAGAAGUUACAGGCUAAUAGGAGAUAUUCCCUUUCUCUGUCUGUCUGUCUCUCUCUCUCUCUACACACACACACACAUACACACACACACACACACAGGUUUAUAUACACACACAAAGGACUUGUAUUCAAAAUAUAUCUAAAAUUCCUACAACUCAAUAGGAAAAGGAACAAAAGCCAGGCUAAAAAAUGGACAAAAGAUUUGAAUAGACAGUUCAUCAGAGUAUGUCAAAAUGGGCAGUAUCAUAUGAAAAGAUGCUCACAUUAUUUAUCAAAAAAAUACAAAUUAAAAUCACAAUGAGAUACUCCUACACAUGCAACAGAAUGGUUAAAUUUAAAAUGAUUGACGAUAUCAAGUAUUGGCCAGUUUGAGAAGUAACUAGACCUUGCAUACAUUGCAGUCGGAGUGUAAAUUAAGUUAACCACUUCCACCCCCAGGUAUAUUCCCAGGAAAAACAAGAACAUGUGUCCACAAAAAGACUUGUCCAAGAAUUUUCAUAGAAGGUUUAUUCAUAAUAGUCAAAUAUUGGAAACAACUCAUCAUCAUAAGAAUGAAUAAACAAAUUGUGGUAAGGUCAUACAAUGGAAUACUACACAACACUUGGGUUGGGGUAACCUACUGAUUCACAAAACAACACGUACGAAUCUCAAAAGUUCAGUUUUGGACAAAAAGCAGCAGAGACAAGAGAUUCCAUUUAUAUGAAGUUCAAGAACAGGCAAAUCUCAUCUUGAGUGAUAGAAGUCAGUAUAAUGUUUACUUCUUGUGGGGGAGGGUUCGUUCUAACUGGGACAGGACAUAAGCACAUCUUCCAGGAGGGGAUAGAAAUGCUUUAUUUCUUGAUUUGGGUGGUGUUUUCAAAUGUAAAGAUUCAUUAAGCUAUAUGCACAGCUAAGAUAUGUAUACUUUAUUAUAUAUAUUUCCAUGAAAAAAUGAUAGAGACCUUUAUUUGAUGAUAAUGGGUAAAACCAUUAUAUUUCAAAAUGUUACCCUGUUAUGACAAGUAAAAUAACAUGUAUGAAUAUAUGCAUGUGCAUUGAGGGAUGGAUAAAAAAAUUUGGAGUAAAAUGUUUACAGUAGUCUCUUCGUUUUGAGCUUUUCUGUACUUUCUGAAUUACUGUAUGAGAAUGUAUUACUUCUAUAAUAAAAAUUAUAAUAGAGCUAAUCACUCUCUUUGAGAUUGGAGGGUGAAAUAAAAGAUGAAUAUGGUGAUA